UACGUAGGGACCAAGCGUUGUUCGGAUUUACUGGGCGUAAAGGGCGCGUAGGCGGGCUCUUAAGUCGGGGGUGAAAGCCUGUGGCUCAACCACAGAAUGGCCUUCGAUACUGGGAGCCUUGAGACCGGAAGAGGUGAGUGGAACUGCGAGUGUAGAGGUGAAAUUCGUAGAUAUUCGCAAGAACACCAGUGGCGAAGGCGGCUCACUGGUCCGGGUCUGACGCUGAGGCGCGAAAGCGUGGGGAGCAAACAGG
rnacentral:rRNA from 1 species